rnacentral:rRNA from 1 species
UACGGAGGGUGCAAGCGUUAUCCGGAUUCACUGGGUUUAAAGGGUGCGUAGGUGGGCAGGUAAGUCAGUGGUGAAAUCUCCGGGCUUAACCCGGAAACUGCCAUUGAUACUAUCAGUCUUGAAUACCGUGGAGGUAAGCGGAAUAUGUCAUGUAGCGGUGAAAUGCUUAGAUAUGACAUAGAACACCCAUUGCGAAGGCAGCUCACUACGGGAAUAUUGACACUGAGGCACGAAAGCGUGGGGAUCAAACAGG